rnacentral:pre_miRNA from 1 species
AUUUUACUCCCUCCGUUCCAAAAUACUUGACUUUCAUUUGUCCAAAAAUGGAUGUACCUAUAUACUAAAACAUGUCUAGAUACAUCUAUAUUUUGACAAAUAGAAGGCAUGUAUUGUGGAACGGAGGAAGUAGGAG